UGAGUGUUAUGAUGAUGGAGUAGGUUUUACCUAUUCUUAGUCUAGCUCUGGUCUACCGCUAGAGAAUUUCUCUAGCGG
rfam:Streptococcus ictaluri 707-05 Contig1217055047, whole genome shotgun sequence.